rnacentral:rRNA from 1 species
GACGAACCGUACAAACGUUAUUCGGAAUCACUGGGCUUAAAGGGCGCGUAGGCGGGCUGUCAAGUCUGGGGUGAAAUCCCGCGGCUCAACCGUGGAACUGCCUCAGAUACUGACGGCCUCGAGGGAGGUAGGGGCGAGCGGAACUAAUGGUGGAGCGGUGAAAUGCGUUGAUAUCAUUAGGAACUCCGGUGGCGAAAGCGGCUCGCUGGACCUUUUCUGACGCUGAUGCGCGAAAAGCUAGGGGAGCAACGGG